AUUCUUCCAGUCAAAGGCAAAGACAGAUCCAUCUUGGAGGUGAAUGCCUAGCUGUAAAGAUGGUGUCACCGGGAGGACUUUGGCUUCCUUGGACUACGGGAUGCUGUUCCAGGAGGAAGGACUGCUAAACAGAGAUGGGCCCCACCUAUCGAGGAAGGGGAAGAGCUUAUUUGGAUACAGACUGGCUAAC